rnacentral:rRNA from 1 species
GACGAACGCUGGCGGCGUGCUUAACACAUGCAAGUCGAACGGAAAGGCCCUGCUUUCGUGGGGUGCCCGAGUGGCGAACGGGUGAGUAACACGUGAGCAACCUGACCUUGACUUUGGGAUAACUUCAGGAAACUGGGGCUAAUACCGGAUAGGAGCCCCUGCUGCAUGGUGGGGGUUGGAAAGUUUCGGCGGUCGGGGAUGGAGGCGCGGCUUACCAGCUUGCUGGUGGGGUGGUGGCUUACCAAGGCUUUGAAGGGUCGCCGGCCUGAGAGGGUGACCGGCCACAUAGGGCCGGAGAUACGGCCCAGAGGCCUGCGAGAAGCAGCGGUGGGAAAUAUUGCACACUGGGCGGAGGCCGGAAGGAGCAACGCCGGGUGCGGGAUGACUGCCUUCGGGUUGGAAACCGCUUUCGCCUGUGACGAAGCGUGAGUGACGGAAAUGGGUAAAGAAGCACCGGCUAACUACGG